AGUGUUAGGCAAAUCCGGCACUCAUAAGGUCAAGCUGUGAUGGGGAGAGGAAAUUGUUUCCUCGAGUCGUUGAUUUCACACUGCCGAGAAAAGCCUCUAGCUAGAUUUAUGCUGCCCGUACCGCAAACCGACACAGGUAGUCAAGAUGAGAAUUCUAAGGUGAGCGAGCGAACUCUCGUUAAGGAACUCGGCAAAAUGACCCCGUAACUUCGGGAGAAGGGGU
rnacentral:rRNA from 1 species